AGCUCGUAGACCCAACCGUAUCCAGAUUAUAGGAGACAAAGUCCUCCAAGCCCCAGUCCGCACCGUAUUCCAAAAGGGAAAACAACAUCAAAAAGGCACAAUCUAAAAAGAAGCACAUAGUGGAAGAAUUAUCCUCCUCUUAGGAAAAAUCCCAGAGCAAAUAUUCAAGUAGCCCAAGUUCUGAGGAGGAUAUCAUUUCACAUGAGGAAUCCGAGGAGGAGAGUGUCCCUCAAGUGUCGGCUCCCCAGGGCUCCCAGGAUAGGCCUUCCAAAGAGCCUGAACGACGUCCAGCGCCAACCAGAGGAAGAGGCCUCAUGAUUUGUGGCAGAGGAUGUGGUUGUGAGAGUAUUUAAUAACUAAAUAUAAUAGUUUCAAGUGUACUUUGGAAGUCAGUUGCCCAUAGCAACUAUUCACUUUUUUUUUCUUUUUAAAGCUUUAGAACCAAUGUGAUUGCUUGCAGAGUCAACUGUAUACACUACCGUUUUUUCAAAACUAAUAGCAAAAUCUUUAUAUUUUCAGGGUGGCGCUCGGCUCGGUCGGGCGAAUGUUGAAGGGGGGUAGGACGAGCCUGAGGUCAUCAUUGAUGAUAACCUCCUGAUUACGAAGGUUGAGGCUCGUCCUGCUAUUUGGGAUUUGUCCGACCCAAACCAUGCCAAGCGCAAUACUCCAAGAGCAAUAGAGAUAUACAGAGCAAUCUGUGAUACCUGGUAGGACCUGUGAUCACAAGAAAGUUGGAUUGGACCAGCACAUGAGGGACCUUAGAGAGGAGGAAGAGAGGCCCAGCGGAUCAGGGGCCUCCAGCAAAACUCUGUAUGUGCACCACCCACUCCUCGGGUUCCUCCAAAAGUGCCAACACCUGCGGAAAACACAUUCCAGUGUAAGGGCGCACCAGACCCUGGCAGUGGCACCCCCUCCCCCCCUACCCUCCCUGGCCCAGCCCCUGACACUGCUGAUCAAGGGCAAGAACCUUCUCCCCUACCAGCUUCCUCAUCAUCCCGACCAAGUUGCCAGAGGAUUGAAACAUCUUUUGGAGAUUUGGUCCGGCCGUUGAGGACUGGAAGGAGACAGCAUGAGAUCCUUGAAGAGCUCAUAAAGCUCACAAAGGAGAGCAUUAUGAGAUUGGAUUAUAGAGGGAAGUCUUGAGGGAGGAGAUUUGCCUCUUACGGCAGACAGGGGCAGGGCCGUCUACUGGUCCCCCUUUAGACUCUCUACUCUAUCCCCAGAGCCUGGCUCCCAUGCUGGAGAAACUGCCCCUUGAUGAGCAGUGUAUUUUCCACAAGGAGUCAUCCGACCUUAUGAGUAGAGUCUGCUGCCCCCCUCCCCCAUCCCCCAAAAUCCCCCCACUCCCCCAAUCCGCUCCACCCCCUCUCCCCAUCCACUCCCCUUACUUGACCAUGUCCCCUGCCCAAAGUAGCAUCCGUUCCCCUUCCCGUCACCACUCCCGUUCCUGUUCCCAUCACCAGUCCCAUUCCAGCUCCUGUCACCACUCCUGUUCCCCUUCCCAUUGCCGUUACCCUUCCCUUUCCACUCCUCAUUCAUACGACCAUCACCUUUCCCCUCCCCGUUAUCCCCAGUCCAUGUCCCACACCCUGCCCCACUCCCUGGGACAUUCCCAGCAUUUGGGACGGUUAUCCACCCCUUCUAGUAGCAUGGUCCAAAUGCUGUCCCAGGGAGAACCUUCUUCCCAUUCCACCCCUUCCUUCACACCUCCCAAUUUCCCUCUGCCCCCUAAUAUUCCCACCCCUUCAACACCUUUCCAACAUUUUUCAUCAUUUUCGCACUCCCAUUCCUACUCCAUGGAAACCCCUAUUCCCAGAUUCUACUCACAAAGUAGAAUAGACUCCUUGCGGCCCCUCGGAGGACCCCAGCUCCCAAGAC